rnacentral:rRNA from 1 species
CCUACGGGUGGCAGCAGUAGGGAAUCUUCCACAAUGGGCGAAAGCCUGAUGGAGCAACGCCGCGUGGGUGAAGAAGGUCUUCGGAACGUAAAACCCUGUUGUUAGAGAAGAAAGUGCGUGAGAGUAACUGUUCACGUUUCGACGGUAUCUAACCAGCAAGCGACGGCUAACUACGUGCCAGCACCAGCGGUAAUACGUCGGUGGCAAGCGUUAUCCGGAUGUAUUGGGCGUAAAGGUAACGCAGGCGGUCUUUUAAGUCAGAUGUGAAAGCCUUCGGCUUAACCGGGGUAGUGCAUUGGAAACUGGGAGACUUGAGUGUAGAAGAGGAGAGUGGAACUCCAUGUGUAGCGGUGAAAUGCGUAGAUAUAUGGAAGAACACCAGUGGCGAAAGCGGCUCUCUGGUCUGUAACUGACGCUGAGGUUCGAAAGCGUGGGUAGCAAACAGGAUUAGAUACCCUUGUAGUC